UUAUAUUUUUAAUUUGCAUGAUUGUCAUUUGUCAGUAGUGUUUGGUUUGGCGUUCAGUUUUCGGUUAUCAGUAUUUUGCCAAACAAAUCUAUAAAUAUCUGGAAAAUAAUGAUAUGUUUGUGAAAUUUCCCCUCUCAUAAAAUAUUCGGUUGACCGAAAAUAAUCCGUAGUUUGUGUAUCCUCAAAUAUUGUAUUAAUGAUACAAGAAGUUCCCUGACAUGGCUGAUAAUGAUGAUUAUUUAGAUUCGAUUGACAACAAUCAUCUAGACGGGACCAACGGUUCCCUAAACAUGACCGACAGCAGCCUUGGCGGUGGGGAUGAGGCAGCUGGGGGAGAGGUGCCAGACUUGGCGGCCAUCAAGGCGCGUGUCCGUGAGAUGGAAGAGGAGGCAGAGAAGCUCAAACAGAUGCAGACAGAGGUGGACAAGCAGAUGAGCAUGGGCAGCCCGCCUGGCCUCACAAGUCCAUUGAACAUGUCUAUUGAAGAGAAGAUAGAGGCAGACAACAGAUCCGUAUAUGUGGGCAAUGUGGACUAUGGGGCUACGGCUGAGGAACUUGAACAACAUUUUCAUGGCUGUGGCUCCAUUAAUAGGGUUACAAUAUUAUGUAAUAAGUUUGAUGGACAUCCUAAAGGAUUUGCAUACAUAGAGUUUGGAGACAAAGACAGUGUACAGACCGCCAUGGCCAUGGACGAGUCAUUAUUUAGGGGGCGUCAGAUUAAGGUGAUGCCCAAGCGCACGAACAAGCCGGGGCUGUCGUCCACGAACCGGCCGCCGCGCGGCGCGCGCGGGCGCGGGCGCGGUUUCCGCGGCGGCUACUCGUCCUACUACUCCGGCUACCGGCCCGUGCGGCGCGGCAGGUACCACCCCUACUAGCAGGCACCCGGCCGGGCAGCGGUGCGCUCGCCUUCUGAGCCGAGGCUCGGAAUAAUGUGACCACAUGUCGCACCAUUUCCUGGUUACGGGUUAACGCCGAGGACGCUCUUCGCGCACUAUUAGAUCGAAUUACUUGUAGACGUAGUGUUUACACUUUUAUAGAGGUUGUGCAUGAUCGCUGUAUCGAGUAUGGUUUCUUUUCUUUAUGUUAUGCCCUACUUAUAUAUUUAUUUACCGUGCUCUGUUUUUGUUCCUGGAGACUUUGACAACAUUUGAAUUUCUUAAAUACUUGGAUGUUAAAUUCGAUGUGGCUACACAAAUUAUUUGAGUAGGUAACCAAUAUCGGAUUUACUAGGAUAAUUAUUUUUACGUUUUCGUUUUAUGGACUGAAAUCAAGUCUUUUGCAAUAUGAAAAUUAAGAGUAUAAAUAUGGUACCUUCAUUUUGAAUAAAUGCUAAUGUAUUUUCGGUAGUUUUCUAACAUUUCUAUAGUUUUAGUUUCUGGGAUUUAAAAAAACGGAUAGGUCGAAAAGGGAGUAAUUGGUAUUAUGUAAUGUUAUGCUUGCCAAGUGCAAAAUUAUGAUUACUGUUGAAUGAAACUAUUGUUGUGUACGUUACAUAUUAUUAUUAUUUCAAGACACUGGUGAUUUAUACCUAGAUAUUUUUGUAGCACGAAUGUUGACGUCUAAGUGUUUGACAAAAUAAAAACAUCGACAGUCCCGUUAUCGAUAAGUGCCACUUCAACGUGAUAGAGGUAAUACAAAGAAAAAUAUAGAUAAUAGUAACAAAACUAUACAUUUAUUUAUAUUUUACAUACUUUAGAAAACAAAUUGAAACCCUUUUGUAACUUUCUUUCUUCGUGUCACUGAAUUAAUUCUCCCAUAAGUCACUCCAUGAUAAACACACACCCAAAUUGUCUUUCAAAUUGACGCAGAAUGAUACAACAUGUACUAUUAUUAAACCCAUUUUUGAUCCCAUAGGAAAUCUGUGUCUGUGUUUCUGUAUAUGGCUACAGUGUAGGUGUAUCUUAGUUUUUUAUUAUUCACAGUAUCGCACUGAUGUAUUAAUGACCCUCUUUCUCUUUUACUUAAAUAUGUAUACUUUGUUGAAGUAGUAAGUAUAUACUUAUCGAUAACAAGACUGUCGAUAUUUUUAUUGUGGUAAGCACUAAGCAAAUUCUGUUCCUGCUAGAAAAAUAUCUAGGUAUAGAUUAAAUUGCACUCUCGUUGCACUUGCUGCUCGAGUAGGUGCCUACAGAUGUAGUGUGUAACUAUUUUCAAUCGUUUUUUUUUUCACGGAAACGUACGUAUGUGUCUUGCUAUUUCAGACGGUCUUGGUACAAAAAAUACUGACGUUGAAUGAAGUAGUAUGACAAAUACGAACGUUACCGAGGAAAUGCGAUGGAAAACAACUAUGUACUACAUCUGUAUCAGAAUAGCCAUGUAUAUAAAUGACAGUAACACCCAAACAUCUGCAUUGUGCAAUGUCCAAGUAGCAAAAGCGUAAGUCGAUAUCAUAAAAAUUCUUAAACUUGUACCAAGAUAUGAAAGGACAAUCCGUUCGAACGACUUUAUGACUUUGCUACAUGGCUGUUCUGAUAGGAUCAUUAGUAACCCGUUACUUUCUGAAUAAUCUAUACUCCUUUUUUGUUUAGUAUUUCAUUAUUUAGCCUUUUUAUAUUCAGUGUCGUACCUUCAUUGAAUUUUGUUUGUGCUCGUUUGUAAUUCGACUUAGUAGUGCUCGACUAAAUUUUAUAGUAUGCAGCUCAGUUUUGCUUCAUUAUGUGGAUAUAGUUGGCUCUUGAGUACUAGCUAUGGCAUGGUCCUCUCCAAAACGAGUUCUGAUGAAAUUAUUUUAUGAAUUAUGUCCUUAAAGAAAAGUGCAUCUUAUUAAUGAUAGGUAUGCAUGUGGGUCAUUCGUGACAUCUAUUCGUAGCGAGAAGUACAAUGUAGAAUUGUAACAAAAGUCCCGUAUUUUUACUAUGUUGACAAAAAAUAAACAUAUUUUUACCCACUCUACUCUAUUAUGAAGAAUAAAGAUUUUCGAUAAAGAUAA